rnacentral:rRNA from 1 species
AAGCGGCAACAGCUCAAAUUUGAAAGCUGGCUCCUUUGGAGUCCGCGUUGUAAUUUGUAGAGGAUGAUUCGGCAAGGGCUCCCGCCUAAGUCUCCUGGAACGGAGCGUCAUAGAGGGUGAGAAUCCCGUAUGCGGUGGGCUGCCUAAGCCAUGUGAAUCUCCUUCGACGAGUCGAGUUGUUUGGGAAUGCAGCUCUAAAUGGGAGGUAAAUUUCUUCUAAAGCUAAAUACCGGCCAGAGACCGAUAGCGCACAAGUAGAGUGAUCGAAAGAUGAAAAGCACUUUGGAAAGAGAGUUAAAAAGUACGUGAAAUUGUUGAAAGGGAAGCGCUUGCAGCCAGACUUGUCCGCAGUUGCUCAGCCGGUCUCCUGACCGGUGUACUCUUCUGCGGCCAGGCCAGCAUCAGUUCGGGCGGUCGGAUAAAGACCUCGGGAAUGUAGCUCCUCUCGGGGAGUGUUAUAGCCCGGGGUGGAAUGCGGCCAGCCUGGACUGAGGAUCUCGCUUCGGCUAGGAUGCUGGCGUAAUGGCUGUAAGCGGCCCGUCUUGAAACACGGACCAAGGAGUCUAACAUCUAUGCGAGUGUUUGGGUGUCAAACCCAUGCGCGUAAUGAAAGUGAACGGAGGUGGGAACCCUCACGGGUGCACCAUCGACCGAUCCUGAUGUCUUCGGAUGGAUUUGAGUAAGAGCAUAGCUGUUGGGACCCGAAAGAUGGUGAACUAUGCCUGAAUAGGGUGAAGCCAGAGGAAACUCUGGUGGAGGCUCGCAGCGGUUCUGACGUGCAAAUCGAUCGUCAAAUUUGGGUAUAGGGGCGAAA